rnacentral:ncRNA from 1 species
CGUCUUUGGUUCUGUGCUUGGCUGAUAAGCCAAUGGUGCGAAGCUACCAUCUGAGGGAUUAUGACUGAACGCCUCUAAGUCAGAAUCCCGCCUGGAAAGCGACGAUGCAUUCGUGCCUCGGCCUCGAGAGGCGUAGCUAGACGGCCGUGUGGCCGUGGAAAGAGCCCGAUUCCGACCCGAGAGGCCGCGGCAAGAGGCGGCCUCGAAGUCGGUGGAUCCUCCUGCUCGAAAGGCGGGGUGCUAAACCAUUCGCAGACGACCUAGUUGAAGAUCGGGGUGUCGUGAUCACUAGAGCAGUACAUCUCACUGCGAUUUGUUGAGAGUAAGCCUCAAGAUCUGUCGGUUUGU